UACGUAGGGUGCAAGCGUUGUCCGGAAUUAUUGGGCGUAAAGAGCUCGUAGGCGGUUUGUCGCGUCUGCUGUGAAAACGCGAGGCUCAACCUCGCGCCUGCAGUGGGUACGGGCAGACUAGAGUGUGGUAGGGGAGAUUGGAAUUUACGGGUGUAGCAGUGAAAUGCGUAGAUAUCGUAAGGAAGACCAGUGGCGAAGGCGAAUCUCUGGACAGUUACUGACACUGAGGCACGAAGGCCAGGGGAGCAAACGGG
rnacentral:rRNA from 1 species